AUGCCGCCACGGUCUCGCCUUGACAAUGAGCAUUGCGCAGCUCUAGCUUCUUGUGAGGGUCCGAUGAAAUCCCAGCUCCCCUCCAAGGUGCUUCACCGCAGGUCCUGGGCAUCGGUCGUUUCCACUCACGUUGAGUCGGGAACCCCAUCCGAUGUACUGCUCCGGUCCACUAUAGCAGCACAGGCGGAGCUCUUGGUGCGCGUUGGGAGCUUUCUGGAGCGAGCAGAGGCUGCUCUGGGAAAGCUCUCUCUUGUCCCGGCUGUGUUGCAAUCCGCUCCUACGCCACGUCCUCCCAGUGAGGUUGAUGUUGGUGGCUCAGUGGAGAGCAGUGUUGCGGAGCUCUAUGGUUGUUUCUCCCCUAGAGCUGUGGACAACUCGUCACCUUCAUCUACCUUGCCCACUGUGUUGUCUAUCGCUGAGGGCGGGACCAUUGCCGUGGUUGUGCCUCCGGUGCUGCAGGUGAUGCCCGAGCUUCAAGUGGUAUGUGCGAGCUCUGAUUUGCCUCUAUCAAUGGAGCAAACGAUGGUGGACACGCAAGCAACCACGAGUGAGGGACAUGAUUCAACUAUGACAUGUGAGCAGAGUGAGGUGAGCUCGCUUGGGCGCUCACAUGUGAUUUUGGCACCCGUUCCACCGCCGCCGACGGAUACUUCGAAUGCUCUCUUUGCAAAAGAGCUUUGUGACUUGCUCGCUAGUGUGGAGGCUAUUAUUCCUGGAACUGGAAGGGCAAUUGCCUGCCUCCUGACAGGAUCGACAUACAAGGGCAAAUGCAAGAAGGCGAGCGAUUGCCCUCGGACCGGUUUAGUGCAGGAGAAGUCACUAAGGUGCAAAAGCAAGAAGAGUGGCGUCAUAGGUAAGGUGCCCGCGGCUGCUUAG
rnacentral:rRNA from 1 species